rnacentral:rRNA from 1 species
UACGAAGGGGGCUAGCGUUGCUCGGAAUCACUGGGCGUAAAGCGCACGUAGGCGGGUCGUUAAGUCGGGGGUGAAAUCCUGGAGCUCAACUCCAGAACUGCCUUCGAUACUGGCGAUCUUGAGUCUGGGAGAGGUGAGUGGAACUCCGAGUGUAGAGGUGAAAUUCGUAGAUAUCGGGAGGAACACCGGUGGCGAAGGCGGCGAUCUGGGUAGAUACUGACGCUGAGGUGCGAAAGCGUGGGGAGCAAACAGG